GUACCCGCAGCCCAGCCGGAUGGAGCGCCGCCCUCCGAAGGCGGAGACCGGAGGUUCAAAUCCUCCCGGGUGCG
rnacentral:tRNA from 1 species